rnacentral:lncRNA from 1 species
GGAAACUGGAUGUUCUCCUAAAACAGACCUUGGGAGAAAGCGCUUUCACCUCCUCACCACAGACACUCUCGACUGUGGACUCAGGACACUAAGCCAGAAAGGUGACGAUUUCCUUCUUGAACCCGGCCUGCAUCAGCAGCUCAGACCCAGGGCUCCGGGUCCUUUGCUCUAUGUCCAGUGCUCUUUUUGCUCCCUCACACACUUAGCGAUGGCAGUGUUCUUAGUAUACUCAAAGAGCUUUGUAAUGAAUUAGAGCAGCCAUUCCCAACCUUCCUAGUGCUGCGGUCCUUUAAUACAGUUUCUUAAGUUGUGGCGAACCAUCCCCCCCACCCCCAACCAUAACAUUAUUCUUGCUGCUGCUGUUAUGAAUCGUAAUGAAACAUUUGAUCUGCAGUACAUCUGAUAUGUGAUUCCCGAGAAAGGGCCAUCAUAUUCCAAGGGAUCGGGACCCACAGCGUGAGAAGCCCUGAACUAGAGAUCCGCCUAAACUGAGAAACAACCUAGCACCUAUCCCAGCCCAUCAAUGUUGUAUAUGGCAACAGAUUCAAAAGCCCAGACUAAAACAUACUCACCAUCCAUGUUACCAGCUCUCACCAUGGGGCAGCAAUGUGGAUUUAGUAAGCAUAGCCCACGGGCACUCAUUUUGAAGACACUAGGAGAACUUCAAAGCCAGGUUUGUUCUUCUGCCUCUGGUGACAUUUUUAAAAUUUCAGCACUGUUUUUUUUUUUAAUUGAUUCGUCGGUCCUUAUAUUUGCUUUAGGAACCUGACAAGACUGACUAGCCAUCUCUAGCAUUCAGAUGCUCUAUGACUACCAACAAUGUACCAGUGGUAUUCGUCUCUUGCAGAUCUGGAAGAAAAUGAAAUUUAGGUACAUACAGUCACGAACAGAUACCUAGAUGACACAUUUAAAACCCUCAAACACAGUGGAGAUGAGACCAGCAUAAUAUUAAGCUCUUCUCCCUCACAAACACCUGUGCUACCCACACUCACAGGCAAAAAAAAUAUAAUGUGAGCGAGCAGUCUCCUUCCUGCUGCUGCAGCUGCAAGCUGCUCCUGCCGCCCAUGCCUUCUCUACUGCCAUGCCUUCCCUACCACAAGGGCCAGAACUCUCACACUGAAAGCCAGAAUAAAUCCUUCCUCUCUUCGGUUGGUUGUUGUCAGGUAAUUGGUCCCAACCAUGGUAAAGCUUAGUGGAAAAGAAAAAAAAGGUAAAAAUCUAUUGUAGACUGAGUGCCCUGAAUCAGAAAACACACAGUCCAGCUGCUCUGAAAUCUAAGCAUCAUCGUGACACUACAAAGAGAAAACUCCAUAUCUGACCACACAUGAGAAUCUACUGAUGAAUACAACCAUGGGUUUACUAAAAAAAGGUGUAUAAAAUGAUCUUCAAGCUGCUCGUAUAAGAUAGGUAUGAAGUGUAAAUUGAAUUUUGGGUCUGACCCCCUAACAUAUUUUCCUGCGUGAAUACAAAUUCCCUCAAGUCCAAAUAACCCCACACUUGGGCGUUUCAGAUAGGGGAUACCCAAUCUGUAAGCCGUUUACUGCCAUAGAGAAGCUAUGAUGCAAGCAGAGCCUACUAACAACUUGGCCAAAACACUUCUAAUAACAGAACUUCACAUGGGUUUCCAUGAGGUCAGAAUGGAAGUAGGAGGAUACAUUGUUUGACGUCAUGGUAUCUGUCCAAUUAAGGUCUGUGUGAGCCUUCCAUCACCAUAACAAAACACAGAACAGAAUCAGCUUUUUAAGGGGGCUUAUUUUGGAUUAUGGUUGCAUAGGAAGAUAUAUAGAUAGGAUCUCCAUGCCAAUAUUUUUAAUGGGUGGAGAAGGCAGCAGCUGGCAUCAAUGGUGUGGUGAGGAGAGAAUCAAGUUUCCUUCUCCAGUUCAAACAGACGAAAGUGAAGCGACAUAGGCUCAAGGACAGGGUCACUGGGCUAGCGCCACACCAUGGAGCCAAACCCCGAGCCUUCUAAAUUGUGAGCUGGGCAUGGUGGUUCACCCCAGGAAUCGCAGCACUGAGGGAUGAAGGCGAGAGAGUCACUGUGGGUGUGACAUCAGUCUGGCCUGAAGUCUGAGACUGUUUUUUUAAAAAGAAAACAUUUUUUUAUGUCAUAUAUUUAAUUAUAUAAAGAUUCUGUUGUUUUGUUGUUGUUGUUGUUAAAAUUCAGCCAGGAAAUUUCCAUCUGUCUGGUGUUAAUUGGUUGUUUUUCAGCACUAAUUGGGAAAUGAUAUAUUUUUAUUGUUUUAUAAAUAGAGUAAAACCCCUCAGAAACUGCUGGGGAAAUUUAAACAAGGAAAGCAAUUCUAUGUCCUUGCUUGACAC